rnacentral:rRNA from 1 species
UACGUAGGGCGCAAGCGUUAUCCGGAAUUAUUGGGCGUAAAGAGCUCGUAGGCGGUUUGUCGCGUCUGCCGUGAAAGUCCGGGGCUCAACUCCGGAUCUGCGGUGGGUACGGGCUGACUAGAGUGCGGUAGGGGAGACUGGAAUUCCUGGUGUAGCGGUGAAAUGCGUAGAUAUCUGGAGAAUACCGGUGGCGAAGGCGGCAUCCUGGACCGACAUUGACGCUGAGGAGCGAAAGCUAAGGGGAGCAAACGGGG